GACGAACGCUGGCGGCAUGCCUAAUACAUGCAAGUCGAGCGAACAGAUGAAGUGCUCGCACUUCUGACGUUAGCAGCGAACGGGUGAGUAACACGUAAGGAAUCUACCUAUAAGCGGGGGAUAACAUUCGGAAACGGGUGCUAAUACCGCAUAAUAUCUUCUUCCGCAUGGAAGAAGAUUGAAAGACGGCUCUGCUGUCACUUAUAGAUGACCUUGCGGUGCAUUAGUUAGUUGGUGGGGUAAUGGCCUACCAAGACGAUGAUGCAUAGCCGACCUGAGAGGGUGAUCGGCCACAUUGGGACUGAGACACGGCCCAAACUCCUACGGGAGGCAGCAGUAGGGAAUCUUCCGCAAUGGGCGAAAGCCUGACGGAGCAAUGCCGCGUGAGUGAAGAAGGCCUUCGGGUCGUAAAACUCUGUUAUAAGAGAAGAACAAAUUGUAGAGUAACUGCUACAGUCUUGACGGUAUCUUAUCAGAAAGCCACGGCUAACUACGUGCCAGCCGCCGCAGUAA
rnacentral:rRNA from 1 species